rnacentral:rRNA from 1 species
UACCUGCAGCUCAAGUGGUGGCCGUUAUUAUUGGGCCUAAAACGUCCGUAGCCGGUUUAUUAAAUGCCUGGGUAAAUCGGGCCGCUUAGCGGUUCGAAUUCCGGGUAGACUGAUAGACUUGGGACCGGGAGGAGCUAGAGGUACUCCUGGGGUAGAGGUGAAAUUCCGUAAUCCUAGGGGGACCACCAGUGGCGAAGGCGUCUAGCUAGAACGGGUCUGACGGUGAGGGACGAAGCCCUGGGGCGCAAACCGGAUUAGAUACCCGGGUAGUCCAGGGUGUAAACGCUGCUUGCUUGAUGUUAGUCGGGCUCCGAGCCCGAUUAGUGUCGGAGAGAAGUUGUUAGGCAAGCUACCUGGGAAGUACGGCCGCAAGACUGAAACUUAAAGGAAUUGGCGGGGAGCACAGCAACGGGUGGAGCGUGCGGUUU